rnacentral:rRNA from 1 species
UACAGAGGGUGCGAGCGUUAAUCGGAAUUACUGGGCGUAAAGCGCGCGUAGGCGACUUUGCAAGUCGGGUGUGAAAUCCCCAGGCUUAACCUGGGAACUGCAUUCGAGACUGCAUUGCUAGAGUAUGGGAGAGGGAAGUGGAAUUUCCGGUGUAGCGGUGAAAUGCGUAGAUAUCGGAAGGAACAUCAGUGGCGAAAGCGACUUCCUGGACCAAUACUGACGCUCAGGUGCGAAAGCGUGGGGAGCAAACAGG